rnacentral:rRNA from 1 species
GCAGCAGGCGCGAAACCUUUACACUGCACGACAGUGCGAUAGGGGGACUCCGAGUGCGAGGGCAUAGCGCCCUCGCUUUUGUCGACCGUAAGGUGGUCGUCGAAUAAGGGCUGGGCAAGACCGGUGCCAGCCGCCGCGGUAAUACCGGCAGCCCGAGUGAUGGCUGAUAUUAUUGGGCCUAAAGCGUCCGUAGCCUGCCAUGCAAGUCCAUCGGGAAAUCGGCUCGCUCAACGAGCCGGCGUCCGGUGGAAACUACACGGCUUGGGGCCGGAAGACUCGACGGGUACGUCCGGGGUAGGAGUGAAAUCCUGUAAUCCUGGACGGACCACCAAUGGCGAAAGCACGUCGAGAAACCGGACCCGACGGUGAGGGACAAAAGCCAGGGUCUCGAACCGGAUUAGAUACCCGGGUAGUCCCGGCUGUAAACGAUGCCUGUUAGGUAUGCACCGCGCCACGAGCGCGUUGUGUGCCGAAGUGAAGACGAUAAACAGGCCGCCUGGGAAGUACGUCCGCAAGGAUGAAACUUAAAGGAAUUGGCGGGGGAGCACUACAACCGGAGGAGCCUGCGGUUUAAUUGGAUUCAACGCCGG